rnacentral:rRNA from 1 species
GACGAACGCUGGCGGCGUGCCUAAUACAUGCAAGUUGAGCGCUGAAGGUUGGUACUUGUACCGACUGGAUGAGCAGCGAACGGGUGAGUAACGCGUGGGGAAUCUGCCUUUGAGCGGGGGACAACAUUUGGAAACGAAUGCUAAUACCGCAUAAAAACUUUAAACACAAGUUUUAAGUUUGAAAGAUGCAAUUGCAUCACUCAAAGAUGAUCCCGCGUUGUAUUAGCUAGUUGGUGAGGUAAAGGCUCACCAAGGCGAUGAUACAUAGCCGACCUGAGAGGGUGAUCGGCCACAUUGGGACUGAGACACGGCCCAAACUCCUACGGGAGGCAGCAGUAGGGAAGCUUCGGCAAUGGACGAAAGUCUGACCGAGCAACGCCGCGGGAGUGAAGAAGGGUUUCGGAUCGUAAAACUCUGUUGGUAGAGAAGAACGUUGGUGAGAGUGGAAAGCUCAUCAAGUGACGGUAACUACCCAGAAAGGGACGGCUAACUACGUG